AGCAGCCGCGGUAAUUCCAGCUCCAAUAGCGUAUAUUAAAGUUGCUGCAGUUAAAAAGCUCGUAGUUGAAUUUCGGGACUAAUAUGUCGGUCGUGCCUCGGUACGUACUGGCUUAUUGGUUUCUCCUUUCUGAAGAACCAUGAUGUCAUUUAUUUGGUGUCGUGGGGAAUCAGGACUGUUACUUUGAAAAAUUAGAGUGUUUAAAGCAAGCUAACGCUUGAAUACAUUAGCAUGGAAUAAUGAAAUAGGACGUUCGAUCCUAUUUUGUUGGUUUCUAGGAUUGACGUAAUGAUUAAUAGGGAUAGUUGGGGGCAUUAGUAUUCAAUUGUCAGAGGUGAAAUUCUUGGAUUUAUUGAAGACUAACUACUGCGAAAGCAUUUGCCAAGGAUGUUUUCAUUAACCAAGAACGAAAGUUAGGGGAUCGAAGACGAUCAGAUACCGUCGUAGUCUUAACCAUAAACUAUGCCGACUAGGGAUCGGAUGAUGUUAAUUUUUAAUGACUCAUUCGGCGCCUUACGGG
rnacentral:rRNA from 1 species